rnacentral:ncRNA from 1 species
CAUCUUCAGGGCAGGGUGAAAUUCCCGACCGGCGGUAUAAGAGGAUUGAAUCGCAGCCUCUUGAGUCCGCGAGCCGAAAGGCAUGACCCGGUGCGAAUCCGGGACCGACAGUACAGUCUGGAUGGAAGAAGAU